AGAGAUGCCCAGAAGAAAGAGACGGCUGAACAGGGGACUCCAGUGACGUCCGAUGGGCCGACUUUACGAUCCUUUAGAGUAAAAAUGUCAUCCAGGAAGACCUAAAGAUAACAAUAAACGAUUAUAGUUUAACUUAGGAUGGUACUAUAUCUCAACUAGGACAAAGUCCGGCACAUAGUAAUCGCUAUGUUUUUACUAUGAUGAUUAUUAUUAUCUUCGUCUAACAGCAACAACAAAAAAAAGGCCAGAGGCAUCUGUGCAAAACUCGGUCUCUAUGAAGUCAGAGCUAUUAGUAUCAGCAUUUUGCCCAUGAAGAAACCGCGGUGUAGAGAGAUUCUUUUCCCGGAACUGGAUAACCAGCAAAAUGUGAAGCAGGGUAAUCUGUCUCCUGAGUCUGGGCUCUUCAGUGACACCACUGUUUCCCCAAAUUUGAAUUCAAAUAACUGAUGAUUUGUUCCAUGAAUGCCAGAGCUGGAAGGGAUGGGGAUGGCGGAAGAGACAAGACUGGAUCAUGGACCUGGUGGUUCUGUGCAGAGGCCAAAGCUACUCUCCUUCCCACCUGGCCCUGUGCUGGGCCUAACCUGGAGCCCCCUCCAUCCUCUGCCUUAUUCACCUCUGGUUCAAGGUCCGGCAGAAACUCCACAUCCUCCAGGAAGCCCUGGUGGACUUGGGCAGACCUGGAGACACGUCCAACCUCCUGGCAAGAUGGGGGUUACAAGAGUGUGUAUAAAGGGGAAGGCAAGAAUGUGCCCUUGGUGGAGCAGUGAAAAGAAGCCUUCAUGUGACAAGUGCUUUGCUCCUAACCCACCCCCUGUGGUGACAUCUUCUAGGUUAACUGCCCUUGCUGAUCUCUGCACAUAAACCAAGCUAACUGUGGGAGGACUUUUGUUUCUAGUUUAAAGCAAGGAGGACCACAGUUCCUUCCAAACGCUCACCCCCAAGGAGAUAAGGAGGGCAUCCCAUGAGCAACACUGUGUGUUAAAGAUGCACAUGAGCACUAGGACUCGACCAAGGACAAACACGUUUCCAGGCCCCUCAGACCCUCGCUGCUGCCCAGAUGUCCAUUGUCAUCGGUCACAUCCUAACCUCAACCCCCUCCCCUCCUCCCACAUAAAAGGAGGCUGAAAUUCAUAGUAACUUCAGAUGGUUCUUUAGGACACUGGCCCACCACCUUCUCAGUUGCUGGCUCUCCAAAACAAAGCCCCCUCCCUUGACCCAACUCCUUGUCUCUUGACGUACUGGCUGUCGUGCAGUGCGUGGUACCGGCUUGAACUCGGUUAUGCUGGCACGGCCUCUGGCAGUGUUCAGUGUGUGCGGAUGAGUAUUUUACAGCUACUGUUCUAUUUCUAGUCCCCUUCCUGUGGACGGCUGUGGGAUGUGCUGUGGAUGCCCUCUCUUAGGCUGGAAUAAACCGCCCUACCUUCUCUGCCUUGUCUCCACCAAAUAAACUCCUUAAGGCAGGGAUAGAGUCUUGCACUCCACAAAGAAGUAUUGCUGCGUCCUCAGCUGUGUAAGAGUGACUGGGCUCCUUCUAUUCCACCUCUGAUGGAACUUUAGGCACGCAGAGAGAGACAGCAAAUUUGUGCUAGCUGAAGGGGUCAGCAAAUGCAUAUGAGGCCUCUUGUGCUCCAGAGAGAGAAUGGAGUGCAGUCAGUGAGACCCUGAUGGGAGAUGGAACCAAAAGCCUGGGCAGAAGGGAUCGUGGAGGUGCCCGGGGUCAGGAGGGACGGGAAGGGUGAGGAACACAAGAGAUCACCUGGAGGCAUGAGCGGAGAAGGCAGGCACUGGGGGACGGUGCUGCUGAUCCAGGUGGGGCAACAUCCUAGGACCCGAGCGCUGGGCAGGUGCAUCCGUGGAGAGAGGCUUCUCUCCUCUCUUGGCUCCUGCUGAGAGAGGCAUUCAUUCCCCUGGGUUGCCCUGCAAGAGACAGGGGCUCUAGGUAGAUCUGUGCCAUCUAGGGAAUGGAAUGUGAAUAUCUAAAGGUUCUAGAGGUCAAGUCUUAGGUUCCCUCUCAGCUCAGAACCCAGUUGGUGUACUCUAGCCCAACCCCCUUCUCUUGUAGAUUUCCUACAUGGAGAGGCAAAUACCUUGCCAGACACCAACAGUCCCUUCUCAGCACUUUUGUGCAAAGGCAACUCAGACCCUAAGAGAAUGGGGUCUAAUUUGCAGGUGCCACUGGAAGGCAGAGGUCACGGGAGCCCUGAACUUCGGACAAGGUAGAGGGAUCCUGGAGACAGCAUAUCUGGCCCUGGAGCCCUGCCCACCCGGGGAGUGAGGGCAGCUCUCCUGCUCUCCCCUGAGGCCUGCCUGAGGACCCCCAUGUCCUCUAUGUGUGGGAUUCUGCAGUUUGCACUCACAACCCAGAGCCUUUUACCCAACCACCCUGGUUGUAGGAAUGUGUUCAAAAUAAGCAUCAGACAAGUACAUGAAGAUGAAUGUGCAAAGACGUUCAUAGCAGGAUUGUUUAUAAUCAUGAAAAAUGAUCUGCAGAUUUCCUGUCCGCUGUGCAGGAUGAGUUAGACGGGGCUGCAUCCAUAAAAUCACUUUGCCCUCUUUUAAAAUUAUAUCAUAGAUCUGUGUUUAAUGACAUAGUAAAUGGUACUCAAUGCAUUAAGUGAAAAAAGCAGCUUAUACAUCAGGAUGUAUAUGAUCAAGUUUUUGUUAAAUGGAUGCAUGUAUGCAGGUCAGUAACUGUCUGCGUUUGCAAACAAAAAGUCUAGCAAGAUGUGCAUCAAAUAUUAACAAUCAUUAUUUUUGGAUAGUGGAUUUAUUAACAUCUAUUUUUGACUUUGCCCUUUGUUUUCCUAUGUUAUCUUUUUUACACUGAGUUUAUAUUAUUAUUUUUACAAUUAAAAUGUCAAUCCAUCAAUCUACCUCCAUUUGGGAAGUAGU